GGCCUUGUUGGUUGGUGGACAUCGGAAAAUAUCAAUAACUUCAUAGUAUACAUCCUAUAGAUAAAAUAGACAAACUUUGGGUUAAUCCAUUCAGCAUUUCAAAGGAGAAUGAUUCAGACGUACGACGGACGCAAAAUGAUCCGGAGACUUACAUGGUCCUUCAGUCCAGAUGAGCUAAAAUUUGUUUCGUUGUUAUUUUGAUAGUUUCUUCUUUUAAAAGUUUGACAUUAAACAGAAAUCCAUAUCUGAUACAAC
rnacentral:lncRNA from 1 species